GCCGGGCAUGGUGGCACGAGCCUGUAGUCCCAGCUACUCGGGAGGCUGAGGCUGGAGGAUCGCUUGAGCCCAGGAGUUCUGGGCUGCAGUGCGCUAUGCCGAUCGGGUGUCCGCACUAAGUUCGGCAUCAAUAUGGUGACCCUCCGGGAGCAGGGGAGCACCAGGUUGCCUAAGGAGGGGUGAACCGGCCCAGGUCGGAAACGGAGCAGGUCAAAACUCCCGUGCUGAUCAGUAGUGGGAUCGCGCCACGGCACUCCAGCCUGGGCAACACAGCGAGACCCCGUCUCUU
rnacentral:SRP_RNA from 1 species